GCAUUCCUUUGAGGGUCGUGGGCAGACGCCAUUUUGGCCCCAGCGGUGCUUCUAGGAAGUAGAGCGCCGGCUCGCAUGCCUGCCCGCCCGCCAGCCUGCCGGGUACGGCCUUUUCCGCCGGGGCUUUCAGGUCAAAGAAUUCGCCUUUGCCGCUACCGCUUUCUUACCCUCCGCACCCGUUAAGUUCUCCGGUCGGGCGGGAGUCUCUGAACACUUAGCCGCGCCAUCCGGGGUCACACCGCCUGGAAGGAGGUGACGGGGGCGGCGCGGGGCGCGGACACUCCCCGCUGAGAGUCCGCCUGCCAUGGACUCGGAAUAUUACAGCGGCGACCAGUCAGAUGAUGGUGGUGCUACCCCAGUACAGGAUGAACGGGAUUCAGGGUCAGACGGUGAGGAUGAUGUAAAUGAGCAACACUCCGGAUCAGACACUGGAAGUGUAGAACGUCAUUCAGAGAAUGAAACUAGUGAUCGAGAAGAUGGCCUCCCCAAAGGACAUCAUGUGACAGACUCUGAGAAUGAUGAGCCCUUAAAUCUUAAUGCUAGUGACUCUGAAAGUGAGGAGCUUCACAGGCAAAAGGACAGUGACUCUGAAUCUGAGGAACGUGCAGAGCCUCCUGCAAGCGAUUCUGAAAAUGAGGAUGUCAAUCAGCAUGGGAGCGACUCUGAGAGUGAAGAGACCAGGAAAUUACCUGGUAGUGACUCUGAAAAUGAGGAACUUCUUAAUGGGCAUGCAAGUGACUCAGAAAACGAAGAUGUUGAGAAGCAUCCCGCCAGUGAUUCUGAGAUUGAGGAGCUCCAGAAGAGUCCUGCUAGUGACUCUGAAACAGAAGAUGCUCUAAAACCUCAAAUCAGUGACUCUGAGAGUGAGGAACCCCCAAGGCACCAAGCCAGUGACUCCGAAAAUGAGGAGCCUCCCAAACCUCGAAUGAGUGAUUCUGAAAGUGAGGAGCUUCCUAAACCUCAGGUCAGUGAUUCAGAAAGUGAGGAACCCCCAAGGCACCAGGCCAGUGACUCUGAAAAUGAGGAGCUUCCCAAACCUCGUAUCAGUGACUCAGAAAGUGAGGACCCUCCGAGGCACCAGGCCAGUGACUCAGAAAAUGAAGAGCUUCCCAAACCCCGAAUCAGUGAUUCGGAAAGUGAGGAUCCCCCAAGGAACCAGGCCAGUGAUUCUGAAAAUGAGGAGCUACCCAAACCCCGAGUCAGUGACUCUGAGAGUGAGGGGCCUCUGAAGGGGCCUGCCAGUGACUCAGAAACUGAGGAUGCGUCCAGACACAAACAGAAGCCAGAGUCAGAUGAUGACAGCGACAGGGAGAAUAAGAGAGAGGAUACAGAAAUGCAGAAUGACUCCUUCCAUUCAGACAGCCAUAUGGACAGAAAAAAGUUUCACAGUUCUGAUAGUGAGGAGGAAGAACACAAAAAGCAAAAAAUGGACAGUGAUGAAGAUGAAAAAGAGGGUGAGGAGGAGAAAGUAGCGAAGAGAAAAGCUGCUGUGCUUUCUGAUAGUGAAGAUGAAGAGAAAGCAUCAGCAAAGAAGAGUCGUGUUGUCUCUGAUGCAGAUGACUCUGACAGUGAUGCUGUAUCAGACAAGUCAGGCAAAAGAGAGAAGACCAUAGCAUCUGACAGUGAGGAAGAAGCUGGGAAAGAAUUGUCUGAUAAGAAAAAUGAAGAGAAGGAUCUGUUUGGGAGUGACAGUGAGUCAGGCAAUGAAGAAGAAAAUCUUAUUGCAGACAUAUUUGGAGAAUCUGGUGAUGAAGAGGAAGAAGAAUUUACAGGUUUUAACCAAGAAGAUCUGGAAGAAGAAAAAGGUGAAACACAGGUAAAAGAAGCAGAAGAUUCAGAUUCUGAUGAUAACAUAAAGAGAGGAAAACAUAUGGACUUUCUGUCAGAUUUUGAGAUGAUGUUGCAGCGAAAAAAGAGCAUGAGUGGCAAGCGCAGACGGAACCGCGAUGGUGGCACCUUUAUUAGUGAUGCAGACGACGUCGUGAGUGCCAUGAUCGUCAAGAUGAAUGAAGCUGCUGAGGAAGACAGACAGUUGAACAAUCAAAAAAAGCCAGCACUGAAAAAAUUAACUUUACUGCCUACUGUAGUUAUGCACCUUAAGAAGCAGGACCUUAAAGAAACAUUCAUUGACAGUGGUGUGAUGUCUGCCAUCAAAGAAUGGCUCUCACCUCUACCAGAUAGGAGUUUGCCUGCACUCAAGAUCCGGGAGGAGCUGCUGAAGAUCCUGCAAGAGCCUGCCAGAAGAGGGGUUGGAAAAAAGGAACAUAUCUAAUAAAAUGAGCGUGAAAGAGAAGACCUUAUAAAACUUCAUCUGCCUAGUGUGAGCCAGGAGACCCUGAAGCAUAGUGGGAUUGGACGAGCAGUGAUGUAUCUCUAUAAACACCCCAAGGAAUCAAGGUCCAACAAGGACAUGGCAGGGAAAUUAAUCAAUGAGUGGUCUAGGCCUAUAUUUGGUCUUACCUCAAACUACAAAGGAAUGACAAGAGAAGAAAGGGAGCAGAGAGAUCUAGAACAGAUGCCUCAACGACGAAGAAUGAACAGCACUGGUGGUCAGACACCCAGAAGAGACCUGGAAAAGGUGCUGACAGGAGAGGAGAAGGCUCUUAGACCUGGAGAUCCUGGAUUCUGUGCCCGUGCAAGGGUCCCAAUGCCUUCAAACAAGGACUAUGUUGUCAGGCCCAAAUGGAAUGUGGAAAUGGAGUCAUCCAGGGUUUUGCUGUUACUGCUCAAUGUAGUCACACCUUGAAUAAGAAAUGGAAAACCUUGGGAUGUCGAUAAAGCUAAUAUCCUGAGGAAGAACUUCAGUGGGUCCCAGCUGAGUAGGAGAUGGGAUUCAACAGUACUGGUCUAGUGUGCUGGAGUGGCCCAGGCAGAGGCCCACUUGCAGAGACUAAUGGGAGCCUCAAGAGAAAAUCUACCAUAAGAAAAGGACCAGUAUGACAGCAAGCCCAGCUUCCCAGGAAGAUAGAAGGUUGGAGGCAAGCUGCUGUCCAGGUAUGUCCCGAACCAGCCAACUUGAAGGUAAGUUUGCUCCCUGGGGAGAGAAGGGCUCUAGGUGUGAACUAAAAGCUGUGUCCAUAGACACUGUAACACUGGAGUUCAAAAAAUGUUGCUGUGGAACGGCCCUUCUCAUCCAAACCCAGACGGAAUGUUCUCACCUGCCAAGAGUAGUGUCUUGUAUUGAGGCACAGUGGUAGCUUUCUGGAUCCACAGGCAAGGCCCUGUGGAGUCUCAGAAUAAUGAUAAAUCCUCUGGAUGACCUAGGGGCUGGUGAGGUGAGUGGAGCGCCCUGCUGUGGUGUGUCUGUAGGACCAUUGGAGCCUGAUGCUGCCAAAGCAUGACCUGACCAGCCCUGGCAACUGGUUUAGGAUCAUACAACCAUGCACAUGCCCCUAGGAUUCCUAGAAAUACUAAGGGGAAAAGGAUUUUCCCGGAGCUGGGACAUUCUACAUUUGCACAGGUGAGAACUCAAACCAUUGAGAUUUAGAUAUUAAUGUAAAACAACUUCAUUUGUACUCUGAGUACAAAUGAAGACUGAGUAAGGCUAGGACUUUUCCUUUCUGCUGCAUUUUAACAUAGGUAGGAGGACAGGAUUUUCAAGAUGCCCAAGAAAGUAAUCAAGCAAUAAUCAUGCACAUCUUCAUGAAGGAAUGGUAGAGCCCCACAUGACCCAUGAUCUGCACCCCACAGGACCCCCGCCCCACUGCUUCUCUGCCCUCAUCUCGUAGCACUCCAGCCCAGGCCCCGCUGGCUGGCCUCCCGUGAAGCACGCUCUCCCCUCAGGGCCUUUACACUUGGCUUCUCCCUUGAUCUGGGUUGUGCUCUUCCCUAUCUUCCCACCCUCUAAUGUCCAUGCGCCUUCUUCCUCACUUUCUUCAGCUCUCUGUUCAGACGUCACCUUUUCUGUGAGGCCUUCCCUGACCUAACAUAAACAGCAACAAGGUCAGUCUCAGUGGCUCACGCCUGUUAUUCCAGCACUUUGGGAGGCCAAGGCAGGCAGAUCACCUGAGGUCAGGAGUUCGAGACCAGCCUGGCCAACAUGGUGAAACCCCGUCUCUACUAAAAAUACAAAAAAAAGUAGCCGGGUAUGGUGGCGAGCGCCUGUAAUCCCAGCUACUUGGGAGGCUGAGGCGGGAGAAUCACUUGAACCUGAGAGGUGAAGGUUGGAGUGAGCUGAGAUCGCGCCAUAGCACUCCAGCCUGGGUGACAGAGUCAGAGUCCAUUUUGAAAAAAAUAAAAUAAAAAAAGAGCAACAACUGCUUCUUGCCUUGUUACCUCUAAUCUGCUUUAUUUUUUCCCAAAGCACUUUGCAUUAUCUAGUAUACUAUACAUGUAGUUGUUUAUUGAGUGUAUCCUCCUCAUUAGAAUGGGAGCUCCAUGAGGGCAAGAACUCCCUCUUUUAUUCACAGAUGUAUCCCCAGCAGCCAGCACAUUGUCUGUCACACAGCACAUGCUCAAUACAUUUCAUUAAUGAAUGAUCAUACUUCCUCCCUUUUUUGUUAAUUAACUAAUUCAGUGAACACUGAGCUCUACUAAGCGAUGGACACUACUGAAUAGCAGAGAACUAAAGAUGCACAAGAUAGCCUCUGCCCUUAAAGAGGUCACAGUGUGAGGAGGGAGGCAGAAUGGUGCCUCCUGACUGUAAACGCAGUGUGGUAGAUUUCACUGGGGACACAGCUGGAGGAGAUUGGGGAAAGCUUCGUGGAGGAGUUGCUGUCGAGUUGACUCAUGAAGGGUGAGGAAAAUUAUGACGUGUGAACAUUUGUUGAGUGCUUACCAUCUCUCUGCUAAGCAACUUAAAUAUAGCAUUAUUUAACGCCGUGAACAGGUGUAUAACAUAAGUACUGAUAUUAUUUUUACCUUAGGGUUGAAGAAGCAGGCUCAGAAAGGACCAAGGUUUGGGGCUACCACUGGUGGAGCUAAGGUUCAGACCUGGUUCUUCCUGGUUUCACAUCUCAUGCUUUAACCAUGUGCUGGGUAGACAAGAAAGGAAGACACUGUGAGCAGAAGAAAUAAUCCAUCUCAAAAAUGGAAACUUCAUGGUGUGUAUUCAGGGAACCCCAGGAAUUCCAGGGAAGAGAUGAGGCAGGAGUCUACCUCACCCAGAAGAACUCGCACACAAAGCAGCAUGAGACAGAAGCUUUUGAAGGGGAGUGGAAUGGCUUUUACCGGCACUGCAGUUUUCUUCUUGCACCAGUGUUAGUAUUUUAUGUUUGUUCAGGAAUGUGUGUAUUUCACCUAGGCUUUCAAAUGUAUUAGGUUAUAGUAAAAUCAUUGCUACGCCCCUGUCACUCUUUCUAAUCUGCAUUUUUCAUAGAUCUGCCUCUCUGCUUUUGAUAUUAUUUCUUGUGUUCAUUUCAUCAUUUGCACCUCUCUUACACUCAAUUCUGCCUCCUUAUCUUUAUAUUUCCCUCCUUCUUGUUUCUUUGGGUUUGUGUUACUCACUUUCCAGCUUCUUAAGUAAGAUUUUUAUGUCACGUGCUCUCUUCCCAGUUUCGUAUGUAUGUAUGUAUGUAUUUAUUUAUUUAAUUAUUGAAACAGGGUCUCACUCUGUUGCCCCAGCUGGAGUACAAUGGCACACUCACAGCUCACUGCAGCCUCAACCUCCUGGGCUCAAGAGAUCCUCCUGCCUCAGCCUCCCGAGUAGCUGGGACCAUAGGUAUAUGCCGCCGUGCCUGGCUAACCUUUUGAUUUUUUGUAGAGAGAAGGUCACUUUGUUGCCCAGGCUGGUCUUGAACUCCUGAGCUCAAGUGAUCCUCCCUCCUCAGCCUCCCAAAGUGCUGUGAUUACAGGCGUGAUCCUGCAUCUGGUGUUUUUCCAGCUUCUUAAGUAAGGAUUUCAUGUCACCUGCUGUAUUAGAUUGCAAGGGCUGUUAUAAUAAAGUACCACAGACUGGGUGUCCUAAAUAACAGAAAUCCAUUGUUUCACAGUUUUGGACGCUAGAAGUUCAAGAUUGAGGUGUCAGCAGGGUUGCUGCCUUCUGAGGGCUGCAAGGGUGAAGCUGGUCAAGGCUGCUCUCCCAGCUUCUGGAGGUUGCGGGCCGUCUUGGGAGCCCUUGGCUUGUAGAUGAGUGGCCCUGACCUCCGCCUUCAUCUUCAUGUGAUGUUCUCCCCGUGUGUUCACGUUGUCUUCUCUCCGUUCAUGUCUGUGCCCCAAUUUCUCCUUUUUAUGAGAACACCAAUCAUUUUAGCGGUCCACCCUAUUCCAGAAUGACCUUGUCUUUUUAUUUAUGUAUUUAUUUAUUUAUUUGUUUUUUAGACAGAGUCUCACCCUGUCGCCCAGGCUGGAGUGCAGUGGCUUGAUCUCAGCUCACUGCAACCUCCGUCUCCUGGGUUCAAGCGACUCUCCUGUCUCAGCCUCCUGAGUAGCUGGGAUUACAGGCACCCACCACCACACCCAGCUAACUUUUGUAUUGACCUUGUCUUAACUAAUUAUAUCCUCAGCAAUCCCAUUUCCAAAUAAGGUCACAUUCUGAGUUUUUGGAGGUUGGGGCUUCAGUGUGUGAAUUUUGGGAGGACACAAUUCAACCUGUGACCCUUCGUGAUGGUUAAUUUUAUGUGUCAUCUUGGCUAGGCCUCAGUAUCCAGAUAUUUGGUCAAACAUCGUUUCGAAUGUUUUCUGGGCAGAUGUUUUUUUGGAUGAGAUUAACACUUAAACCAGUGGACUUUGAGUAAAGCAGGUUAUCCUCCAUAAUGCAGGUGGGCUGCAUCCAAUCAGUUGAAGGUCUUAAUAAAGGCUGACUCUACCCAAGAAAGAAGGAAUUCUGCCAGCACACUGCACUCAGACUCAAACUGCAGCAGGUCGGUGGAUCUCCCAACACUGUCAUGCCAGAGGUGCUCUAGGCCAUGCAGGGUCACCAUCCUGACAGCAGCCCACCCGGAAAUCUUCAGCAGAGGCGAAGACUUCCAGUCCUCUGUCAUUCUUUCAGUCCGUCACCUCCGCUGAGACUGUGGUGGGCACUGGCCCUGUGCCAUUCGGCAGGUGCUUCCAGCCCCGGGCGCGGUUUGCUCCCAUUUCCAGGCAGCCCCACCUAUUCCUCCCCCAGGUCAGUAAGGAGGAGAAUCCCACAGGCCCCAGCUCGGGCAGGUCUCUUUUCUUGUGGCCACACACAGAUAACUAACUCCGUGGGUCCUGGUGUCCUCUCUGGUCUGGCUGCAGCUGUGGCCACAAAUCAAGUCCUCCUUUAUUUUACUGUGGACUGAGCUGUGCUGUGCUUUCUCAGAUAAUUGGCUUUAUCCUCGUUGGCCUGUAGAGUCUUAGAACUAGAGUUUACCUGAGAAGAAAGGCCCUUAAAGACCAUUUGGUCCAUUUUUAUUAAUUUAUUUUUAUUUAUUUAUUAUUAUUUUAAAUAGAGACAAGUUCUCCCUGUGUUGCCCAGGCCGGCCUCGAACUCCUGGGCUCAAGCAAUCCUCCUGCCUCAGCUUCCCAAAGCGCCAGGAUUACCAGUAUGAGCCAUGGCACCUGGCCUAGCCCAGUCGCUUUCAACCCUAGUGAACACAUUGAAAUGAAUUGGAGAGUUGUAAAAAUAUCAAUGUCUGGGUCCCCACUCCCCUGGCACAAUCAGUUAAAUUAGCAUCUCUGGGGGUGGGACUGGACAUCAGUGUUUUUAUUUUUAUUUAUUUAUUUUAUUUUUAUUUUUAUUUAUUUAUUUAUUUAUUUUUGAGACGGAGUCUCACUCUGUCACCCAGGCUGGAGUGCAGUGGCACAAUCUCGGCUCACUGCAAGCUCUGCCUCCCAGGUUCACGCCAUUCUCCAAGUAGCUGGGACUACAGGUGCCCACCACCACGCCCGGCUAAUUUUUUGUAUUUUUAGUAGAGACGGGGUUUCACUGUGUUAGCCAGCAUGGUCUUGGUCUCCUGACCUCGUGAUCCACCUACCUCAGCCUCCCAAAGUGCUGGGAUUACAGGCUUGAGCCACCGCGCCCGGCCACAUCAGUGUUUUCAAAAGCUCUCCGGGGCCGGGCACGGUGGCUCACGCCUGUAAUCCCAGGAUUUUGGGAGGCAAGGCAGACUGAUCAUGAAGUCAGGAGUUCGAGACCAGCCUGGCCAACAUGGUGAAACCCCUUCUCUACUAGCACGCACCUGUAAUCCCAGCUACUCAAGAGGCUGAGGCAGGAGAAUCACUUGAACCCGGGAGGCGGAGGUUGCAGUGAGCCGAGAUCGCACCAUUGCACUGCAGCCUGGGAGACAGAGUGAGACUCCACCUCAAAAAAAAAAAAAGGCUGUCCGGGAGAUGCAAAUGUGCAGCCAGGGUGUAGAAUCACUGCUGUCAUCCAAUCCCUUCAUUUUACUGAUGUCCCCUGGAUUAGUCAGGGUUCUCCAGAGACAGAACUAAUAGGAUGUAUAUAUAGACACAGAUAGAUGAGAAGGGGCUUAUUAAGGAUUUGGCUUCUGUGAUCAUUGAGGCUGAGGAGUCCCAUGGCAGACCUGCCAGCUGGAGAGCCAGGGAAGCCGGCCUGGCUCAGUCCAGGUCUCAAGGCCUCAGAACCAGGGGAGCUGAUAGCAGGAUCCUCAGUACAGGGCUAAUGGCUGGAGAAUCUGCAGGGCCACUGGUGUAAGUCUCAGAGUCCAAAGGCCUGAGAACCUGGAACUGAUGUCCAAGGGCAGGAGAAGGGUGUCCCAGCUCUAGGAGAGACAGAUAAUUCACCUGUCCUCUGCCUUUUUAUUCUGUCUGGGUCCCGAGCUGAUUGGAUGGUGCCUGCCCACACUGAGGGCGGAUCUUCCCCACAUAGUCCACCGACUCAGUGGCCCAUCUCCUCCAGAACAUCUCACAGACACACCCAGAAAUCAUGCUUCGCCAGCCAUGUGGGUAUCCCUUCAUCCAGUCAAAUCGACACCUAAAAUUAACCAUCACACUCAGAGAGGAGAAAAAGACUUGCCUGAGGCCACACACAGAGCUAGACUAAUUUUGGGCUUUAGAUGAAUUUUCUCAGCUUUAUCUCACCACCAUUUCUUUUCAUCAGGUACUUCAUGAUUUCAAAUCAGAGCAUCCUUGACUUAUUUCUGUCUCAUUCAAUUAGGCCUAUCAGGCCAGGUUAAGCCAGAGCCUCUUUCUUACUGCUGUUCAUGAUGGUGUAACAUUGUUCUUAAACAGCUUCCCCCACGACACUGUGAGCUCAUUCUGGGCUGAACCAACACUUUCUGGGUCUCUGGCUGCUUCCCUACAGAGCUAAUAGUGGCCUCCACACCGAGCACCGUCGAGACAGCUGUCCUCCAGGACAGUGGAGAACAGAAAAAAGCACCUGGGUUUUGGAGUCAGACCUAGAUUUGAAUCCUGGCUCCACCAUGUAAACCUUUCAGACCCCUCAGUUUCCUCCUCUGUGAUAUGAGCUAAACAUGUCUACCUCAUAGCUGGGCUAGCUGGAAAGCUGGUCAAGCCUCACCUUCAGCAUCCCCGGCUUGCACAGGCUCUUCCCAAAGCCCUGGAAAAGGCUGUAGCAGCUUCGUGGUUGUGUUUUUUAUUCUUUUUCAUCAACAGAGUAUCCCCCCCAACACACACAGCUUUAAACCCCGCAAAACUUGGAUCUGCUCCUCCCCACCCCACAGAGUUGCUCUAGGAGUUAAGAUUCUAUUCAUAAGGCAUGUGACAUACAACAGGUGCUCAGUAAAUGUUACUUCCCUCCAGAAGAGCCCAAAAGAGGGAUGGAAGGACAGACAGAACAGCAGGCCGGUGCGCUUGUUACAUGUCCCUUUAAUGUCCCAUCCAUUGCCACGCGAAAGCAGCCCCGCAGGGAGGGUCGCUAAGGUGCCCAGCUCUUCUGGGGGGCUUCCUUGUCUCUGAUGUGCCCGUGGAUCCAGUCGAGGUAGCGGCUGACUUUGGUGUAAACGCCGUAGUUGUGAAGGAGCCCGCAGCCCUCACCCCAGCUCACCAGGCCCACCAGGAACCAGGUGCCGUGGAAGGAGGCGACCAUGGGCCCCCCACUGUCGCCCUCGCAGGCAUCCUGCCGGUCCCCGAGGAUGCCCGCACACAGCAUGUUCUCAGACACCAUGUUGCUCAUGACCUCGCUGCACUCAUUGUGCGGGACCACGGGAAUCUUGAUGAAGUUGAGGACGAAGGUGCGGUUUCUCUUGGCCUCCUUCUCUCGGCUGCUGUGGUAGCCCCAGCCCGUCACGAGGGUCUCCUGGCCGGCCUGAUUGAGCUCGCGCUCUGCAAGGCCGCUGUCCGGGAGGCAGAUGGGCACUAUGGUCUGCGAGAGGGUGGCGGGCUGGGCCAGGUGCAGCAGUGCGAUGUCAUUGUCGGUGGUGCUCUUGCUGUAGUUGGGGUGGACGAAGACCUCCUUGAUGUCCAGGUCCAGCUCCCACUUCUCCCAGCGCCGCAGGUCAUACUCUCCUGCAGGGCAGAGGGCACAGUCAGAGUGGGCUGCGGGGAGCCUCUCCCCAGUGGCACUUUCCUGAGGCCCACCCACUGCUGUGCCCCUGCGGGCCUGGGCAGAGGGCCUGAAGAAGGGUCACCCGGAGACUGUGCACCCACACGUCCCAGGCACUGGCGCGGAGCCACCUGUCUAUGCCGUGGAACCCUAUCAACGGUGACUUUUCCUGCCAGAAGGAGUAGCCAACGGGUGUCAAUCCCAAAGGGGUAGGAUGCUGGUUGGUUUUCAGGAGUCAUGGAGCCGUGAGACCAGAGAAGGAAGCAGCAGGGAAGCCCGAGACCCCUGGAAACCCCAGACACAGACCAGAGCCACAAAGGAACGUGGAGCAAAGGUAGCUGGAGAGACCCCAGGGGCAGUGAGACCCAGAGAGGAGGACCCCCAGAACACGGCACCGCCAGGGAGGACAGGGCCGGGUCCCACCUGAGAGAGAAGGUCCUCUCAGUCCAGACUGAUGGUUCCCUGGAAAGAGCACCUGGGAAUUCUAAGCCAAGCCCCACGGGGGGCCACUGGCCAUAGAUUAUGCUGUAGGAAAUGUGAAUUUGGCCUUUCUCAAUAUGCUUUUCCUUCUUUUUGGCAUAAAGAGUUGAGCCAGACCCCCCCUCCAGAAAUUGCCAUAGAUCGGGGCCAAUGCAUAGGUGCCCCCAGCCUGCUAGGGAAGCAGCUUGUGGCUUUGGCAGAUGCUAGGGCUCCCUCUGUACAGCUCCAUCCCUGUCAGUCUGUGGGAGGCACAGUCCUGAGGCCAGGCCUUGCUGGUCUCUGCACCCAAGGGUGCUGAGGCCCACACAGCCUGCUCCUCAUGAGUGGGAGUGGAGAGGUGAAGGUCUGUGUAGCCCCUCACUCACAAACGUGUGUGCAGGUACCUGUGCCCAGAUUCGAAGAGGGCACCAGAGAACACCCUACUGCAAAAUACUAGGUGUACAUGUGUGGGCAGGGUGGGGGCACAUAGGCCUCUUCCCCCCAAACACCUUCUGUGGAGCUCAAGAAGCCUCUUGCUUAAGCACCUGGGGAGCGGGGUCCCCCAAACCUGAACAGCCUGCCUGGUCCCCCUACCCAGGCCUCUGGCAGCCCCCUUCUGCCUGGCUCCAGCCCAUACCAAGCCUGACAAGGAGCUUCUUGGACUCAUCCAUGCAGUGGGCCGCUGUCAGCACCCAGGAGGGGUGGAUGAGCACUGCCCCGCAGGCCAGCUUCUUCUUCGAGUCCAGCAGGACCACCUGGAAUGGGGUGGGAUGAUGACAUCACAGGGCUGCCUCCUGACAGCCUCCAGUCCAGGGCACCUGGGUUUCAUAUGCACUUUCCUGGGUUCCCUGGUCAUAUGGGCAGAGGCUUAGGCCCUUUCUGGCGUUUUCUAUUUUUGCCCAUUUUACAGUGUCAGCCUGUCCCAGGGUGUCUUCCUGACUUUGCCCAUGCUGUUCCUGCACUGUUCAUACUGUUUCAGUCACCCUCAGCCACACCCAACAUCGCCCAGCGAGCUCCUCUCAUCCCUAGAGGCUUGGCCAGGCCUUGUGUCUUCCAGGAAGACUUUGUGGCCCCCAGGCUGCCUGGAUGUUCCCCUUGGGCCUCCCUCAGCCCCUAUCUUGAAGGGCCGUCCUGGCUGUGGUCCCACUGGGCUGCCCGGUCUUUGGGGUCCUGACCCUUGCAGAGUCUGAGUCCCCAGGGCAAAUACCUCCACUUGUUGGUUCCUAUCUCCCCCAUGCCUGGCAGAGAGGGGAACCCAGUAAGUGUCAGUUCCCAUGUGGAGGCUGGAGGGGUACUCAGGCCCGGCCCUCCCUUCUAGCCCUCUCCCAUCAGCAGGGCUUCUGCCUAAAAUCCCGCCAGCACAGCAGUGUCUUUCCAGCUCUUUUUAGAAACUGUAACCCUCCCUCCUGCAGACCCCUCCAUGCCCCCACGCCCCUCCCCUCACCCACCCUGGCUGCUCCUCUCCCCUCAGGUUGCGUCCAUCUUUCCCUGAAGCAUCCCCCACCUUCAUCAUCCCCCAAAAGCAAUGGCAGUGCUUCCCUCUCGGUUUCUGCACCCUGAGCAUAGCUGCCAGGAUGGACUCAGUGAUCCCGGACCCAGCACGUGAGCAGCCGGUGCUGCCUCGCCUCCCACCUGCCAGGGGCUGUCUCCCCGCCUGGUCAUCUUCCCAUCAAUGAGCCGCGGAUCUACUUGGUCUUCUUGGUCUUCUGUGUCUCGUUUCAGGUGACUGCGCUUCUUCUCCAUCCGCUUCCAGGGCCUCCCACAAGGGAACUUCACUGAGGUAGGCAGAGGUGGUGAGGGGCCUGCCAGGCACUCCUCCCGAGACUGCCCUCCUGUCUUGGUCCUCCUCCAGCCUGUGGGCCACUUUGCCACAGUGCAGGGUUCAAGGAACCAAUGAUACUUAGACCACUCCAUUAAUAUUAGCUAUGAACCCCCUCCAGUCAGCCAGUCAGUCAGUCAGUCAGUCAACAAACAGUGCCACUGAAUGGCAAGAGUCAGACCAGGCAGCAUCACCCACUGGCUGUGUGUCCUUACAUAGGUUGUUAAACUUCUUGAAGGCUCAUUGUACCCCAGGGCUGUUGGGGGUAAUCCCUGAGAUACAAAUUACAAACCCCCUCCAGUCAGUCAGUCAGUCAACAAACAGUACCACCCAAUGGCAAGAGUCAGGCCAGGCAGCAUCGCCCACUGCCUGUGUCUCCUUACAUAGGUGGUUAAACUUCUUAAAAGCUCAUUGUACCCCAGGGCUGUUGGGGGUGAUCCCUGGGAUUAGUAAGGUCUCAUAAUGGGAUGCUGCUGAGCUCCUCACAGAGGAAAGGAAUUACAGGGAGAAGGAGGUGAGCAUUCUUGGAGAGCUCCUACAAUAGGCAUGGCAUGUUUGUGAGGCCUCCCUGCCAAGAAGAGAGCGCAUACUCCAUGGAGAACUGAGGGCUGGAAGGUCGGCCCGACUCUGCACAAAAUGGGCCUUGAAUGCCCAGUCCAGAUAUCUAGACUUAAAAGAGCAAUGGGAUGUCGUCAGCAGGGGAGCUGCAUCAUAACAAAAGAAUGGAAAGGGCACAACAGCAACAAUUCCAGAAGCUGACAGCAGAUGGAUGGACACAGUAACUGACUUGGCAGACUGGAAAGCAAAAAUCUCAGCCCGUGAUGGGGGCGCCCAGAAGCUGAAGGACUGGACCACGGAACCAUAGGAGGCUGUGGGGCUUCCAGGAAGGCAGUGCAGGUGGGAGGGCAUGUUGAGAGUUUGUAAGAGAAACUGCGAAAGCCCUCCUCACUGGCUUGACUCCCCUCUCCCUGCCUGCAGAAGGUGAACCAGAGGCUCUGACUAGGGACUUCAGGCCCCGCUUCAGGAAGGAGUGGUGCUCUUAGCUGACCACAGGGAGUCAUGCAAAUGUCCACAGCCUGCACAGGCACCAGCUCCCCUGCCCCACCCUGCUCUGAGGGGCCGAACACCAUGGGUGAGCGUCUUCCAUCCUCCAAGAGCUUGGAGGAGUCCUCUUAGAAAGCAGCCUAAAAGGAAAGCCCUCACGAUCUGGGGUUCUGCCAAUGACAGGGCCUUCCCACGGCCUUGCAGGAAACCCACAGGCCAACAGGCCCACCAGGCAUUUCUUUGCAGCUUCCUGGAAAUAUCUAAUUAUUUCAAAAUAAAAAGUUAAAUUUUUA